AAUUUUGCUCAAUGGGGGAAACCCUGAAGCAGCGACACCGUGUAAAUGAAGAAGGUCUUCGGAUUGUAAAAUUUAAUAAGUAGGAAAAAAUAAGUAAUUUUUAUUACGAUGAUGGUACCUACCUAAAGUACCGGCUAAUUACGUGCCAGCAGCCGCGGUAAUACGUAUGGUACAAGCGUUGUUCGGAAUCAUUGGGCGUAAAGGGUGUGUAGGUGGAAUAGAUAGUCAGAUGUGAAAUCUAUAGACUUAAUUUAUAAAUUGCAUUUGAAACUUCUAGUCUAGAGUUUAAAAAAGGUAAGUGGAAUUCUUGGUGUAGUGGUAAAAUACAUAGAUAUCAAGAGGAACACCGAUGGCGAAAGCAACUUACUGUUUUAAAACUGACACUGAGGCACUAAAGCGUGGGUAGUAAACAGAAUUAGAUACCCUGGUAAUCCACGCCCUA
rnacentral:rRNA from 1 species